rnacentral:rRNA from 1 species
UGGGGAAUUUUGGACAAUGGGCGAAAGCCUGAUCCAGCAAUGCCGCGUGUGUGAAGAAGGCCUUCGGGUUGUAAAGCACUUUUGUCCGGAAAGAAAUCCUUGGCUCUAAUACAGUCGGGGGGAUGACGGUACCGGAAGAAUAAGCACCGGCUAACUACGUGCCAGCAGCCGCGGUAAUACGUAGGGUGCAAGCGUUAAUCGGAAUUACUGGGCGUAAAGCGUGCGCAGGCGGUUUGCUAAGACCGAUGUGAAAUCCCCGGGCUCAACCUGGGAACUGCAUUGGUGACUGGCAGGCUAGAGUAUGGCAGAGGGGGGUAGAAUUCCACGUGUAGCAGUGAAAUGCGUAGAGAUGUGGAGGAAUACCGAUGGCGAAGGCAGCCCCCUGGGCCAAUACUGACGCUCAUGCACGAAAGCGUGGGGAGCAAACAGGAUUAGAUACCCUGGUAGUCCACGCCCUAAACGAUGUCAACUAGUUGUUGGGGAUUCAUUUCCUUAGUAACGUAGCUAACGCGUGAAGUUGACCGCCUGGGGAGUACGGUCGCAAGAUUAAAACUCAAAUGAAUUGACGGGGU